UACGUAGGGGGCGAGCGUUGUCCGGAAUCAUUGGGCGUAAAGGGCGCGUAGGCGGCUUCAUAAGUCAAAGGUGAAAUCCCUCGGCUCAACUGAGGAACUGCCUUUGAAACUGUGGAGCUUGAGGCCGGGAGGGGGUAGCGGAAUUCCCAGUGUAGCGGUGAAAUGCGUAGAUAUUGGGAGGAACACCAGUGGCGAAGGCGGCUACCUGGACCGGAACUGACGCUGAUGCGCGAAAGCGUGGGUAGCAAACAGG
rnacentral:rRNA from 1 species